rnacentral:lncRNA from 1 species
GGGAUGCAAAAGGCUGCUGAUUCACUUGAUUAUAUCAUUGACACUGUGCCUGUUUUUCACCCACUUGAGCCUUACCUUUCAUUGUUGAAACUCGACGGCAAGUUAAUCUUGACUGGUGUUAUUAACACCCCUCUUCAGUUUGUUUCCCCUAUGGUCAUGCUUGGUGAGUCUAUUUCUUUAACUUUGAACCUAUAUAUAGAUGCUUCUUUGUUGGCUGCUCUGGUUUUUUUUGAGUGGAAGGCUAAUUCUCUGUUUUCCCUGCCCAAAAUUUGUAUAGGGAGAAAGUCGAUUACAGGGAGUUUUAUUGGGAGCAUGAAGGAAACAGAGGAAAUGCUUAACUUCUGUAAGGAGGAAAAUUUGACCUCAAUGAUUGAGGUGGUGAAGAUGGAUUAUAUCAACACAGCAAUGGAGAGGCUGGAGAAGAACGAUGUUCGAUACAGAUUCGUCGUGGAUGUUGCUGGAAGCAAGCUUGAUCAAUAGAAC